CUCCUUAGAUUGAUUUUGAUGAUUACAAAGCAGUUGAAGGGGUACCAAUAUUUUCUCACUUGAAAAAGCCUUAUUGCUCUUCAGAGGCAAAAUUAUAAUUUUACCAAAACCCUGAUUUGAUAGUAUCAAAUGAUAGAACAAAAGAUUUGUGAUCCAAUGGUGAAAAUUUUAUUGAUUUUGGACUUGUAUGUUGAAAGAUAUGCAUGAUUGAAAUUCAUGAGUCGACCCAUGAGUCGACUCAUAGCACAUGAGAUGACUGGUACGUUGAUUUUUCUGGCCGGCAC
rnacentral:lncRNA from 1 species